rnacentral:rRNA from 1 species
CCUACGGGUGGCUGCAGUGGGGAAUAUUGGACAAUGGGCGAAAGCCUGAUCCAGCCAUGCCGCGUGUGUGAAGAAGGCCUUCGGGUUGUAAAGCACUUUCAGUGGGGAAGAAAGCCUUGGGGCUAAUACCCUCGAGGAAGGACAUCACCCACAGAAGAAGCACCGGCUAACUCCGUGCCAGCAGCCGCGGUAAUACGGAGGGUGCGAGCGUUAAUCGGAAUUACUGGGCGUAAAGCGCGCGUAGGCGGUCUGAUAAGCCGGUUGUGAAAGCCCCGGGCUCAACCUGGGAACGGCAUCCGGAACUGUCAGGCUAGAGUGCCGGAGAGGAAGGUAGAAUUCCCGGUGUAGCGGUGAAAUACGUAGAGAUCUGGAGGAAUACCAGUGGCGAAGGCGGCCUUCUGGACUGACACUGACGCUGAGGUGCGAAAGCGUGGGUAGCAAACAGGAUUAGAUACCCGAGUAGUC